UUAAAGGAAUUGGCGGGGGAGCACCACAAGGGGUGAAGCCUGCGGUUCAAUUGGAGUCAACGCCGGGAACCUUACCGGGAGCGACAGCAGGGUGAAGGUCAAGCUGAAGACUUUACCUGACGAGCUGAGAGGAGGUGCAUGGCCGUCGUCAGCUCGUGCCGUGAGGUGUCCUGUUAAGUCAGGCAACGAGCGAGACCCCUGCCGUUAAUUGCUACCAUUAUCCGCAAGGAUGGUGGAGCUAGUUGACGGGACUGCCGCCGCUAAGGCGGAGGAAGGAAGGGGCAACGGCAGGUCAGUAUGCCCCGAAACUCCUGGGCCACACGCGGGCUGCAAUGGUAGANACAAUGGGUUCCUACCUCGAAAGGGGGAAGCAAUCCCCAAACUCUACCCCAGUUGUUACUUGAAGGCUGCAACCCCCCUCACNAAUCUUGGAAUCCCUAA
rnacentral:rRNA from 1 species